UGUGAAAACAGACUAAUACAGAGACCCAGCGGGUGGAGACCUCCAGCUCCUCAUCCCUCAAGAUACAGGAAGUGAGCUGUUCAGGCCGCCUGUUCCCCGACGAGGUGCGUGGUUUUGGAGAUUAAUGUUAGCGGUCUUUGUGGGAGGCACUAGGAGGGCUCCCUUUAAGAAGCCCAGAGUGCGGAAACACUGAUUGUGACAUGUGAAUGUGCUCCAUGAGAAGAUGGCAGGUAUCGGAACGUGUGGAGGAAACUGAAAAGUAAAGACCGCCUAAAGAUUGAAACUACCAUUCAGGUAAGUUCCAGGGGACAGAAACAAGCUCUCUGAAGACUCUCAUUAAUCUUUGCUGUCCGAAGCUACCUUCUCCAUCUCCUGCUCACCUGGGAGGACUCCCUGGAGGAAGCCAGGAAAGGUGAAAAUCCAUGUAUCUCUUCACAUUUGGAGAACAAAGGGAAUUCAAGAACAAUUUUAUGGAUUUUCUUUGUUUUUUAUUAAUUAAGACAUGCCUGUUUUAAAUUAGACAAUAAUUUUUUAAAUAUCCUUCAGAUUAUAAAAUGUAAAUUGUCAUGGCCUCUUUUAAAGGCAAUUCUACAGAAUAUACUGUAGUCUCUUUUUUUUUUUUUUUUUUUAAGUUUUUU
rnacentral:lncRNA from 1 species